rnacentral:tRNA from 1 species
GCUUCUUUAGCUCAGUGGUAGAGCACUGGUCUCGUAAACCAGGCGUCGAGAGUUCAAUCCUCACUGAAGGCA